CGCUGGCAUCGGUGUAAACAAUGAAUGGCCGCUGAAGAUCGGGAUGGCCCAGAAUGGGAGUGUGUUGAGGGGUUCAGUAAUCUUGGAAAAAUUUGGAACGAAACGGUGAUACCACCCGGCUAACCCGAGGAACCGUUGAACUUCCUUCACGUUCGUAGGCACAGGAUAGUUUAUGGUGAGACCAGCAGUUCCUAGUCUAUGGAGGAUAGUCUGGAGGUCGUGGAAAUGCUGAGUUAUUGAAGAUCAAUAGUAGAGAAGAUGGCUGCCCCAGAGAGGGAUUCCAGAAUUUCUGUGAUGUUGGGAAGAGGACCACCGGUGAUGCCCAAGCAGAGUGGGAUGGUUCAACUAUUCCUUGCCUCAACAUCUCAUCAAGUUGCUCCUCCAGGGCAAAUUGCUUGAGGGGAGACAAACGGUAUGGCCGUUGUUUAAUGGGGACUUGGCUGGUGGCAUAAAUGCUGUGUUGGAGAACCUCAGUACGUCCAGUACGGAGAGUACACACCUGAGGGCUUUCGUUCAGGAUUUGGAGUAAAUGUAGCUUUUCAUCAAAGGGUAAAUGAGCAGCGUCCACAGCAUUUUUUAUCAAUGUCUUUUCAUCGAUACCAUCUGGGUGUUGAAUUUGAAAUGGUGAUGAUGGAGGGGGCACAGAAGUUAAUAAGGAAAGGUUUUGUGUGGCUUCCUUAAAUUGACAUCUCUCUUUUUGGGGACUUGCAUUUGGCACACUUGGAUUUCCUGGUUGAAAGGGGUACUCUUUUGAAGGAUCCAGCUUGAAGGAGUAUUUUUGAUCAAUGACAUUGAGUUGCAG
ensembl:lncRNA